UGAUAGGAAGAAAAUAGGUGUGUGAGGCAGGAUUCAGGUCGGAGAGGCUGAAUUCAGUUUAUUCGACAGCAUGUUUCUUAUUUUCUGCGGUAAAGUGUGACCAUUUGUACUUUUAUACCGACGGUGGGAUGGGCUCUAAAAUACACAUGAGCUAUGGGUAAUAUAUUUUGUACAGUAUGGGAUUUGGUGAGUGACCAUUUGCGCAUUUGGUUUACUACGCAUUAUUUAUUAAUGUUCCCUCGGAUGCCUCCUCUGAAGGUUUGGAAACGAACGCAGAUGAAUCUGUGAGGGAAUUCUGUUAACUGAGAUCCAUGACGUCACGCCUCGUCCGCGUUGGGGGAGAAUGACGCACCUGGUGUAAAGCGCAGAUUGUGAUCGUCAUCGUCACGACGACAGCGGACUCCUCUCCACACAAAAACUAAAAGCCAGAUCCACAGCGCGACGUCUAGACGGGAUGCGAACCACGCCCUGCGGGUCUUCUGUCAGCCUGGAUUAUUUACCAUACAUAGCAAACAACUGAACAAAUGCAUCGCAAUAUAAUUACAAUAAUACGGCAUCUGUGUAUAAAGCACCGUAAGAGUUAAUAUUAGAUUGGCCAUAACCAUUGCAUAGCCCAUGUUUAACGUUUUUCCUUUUUAGCAUUUAUUCCACCACUUGUUUCAUAUUUUCUGACGACAUGACUUCUGGUGAGUUUGGAAACAUACAUUUUUGUAAUAAAUUAUGUAUAAACUGAA